AGCGCCCUACGGGGGGCAGCAGUGAGGAAUAUUGGUCAAUGGCCGGAAGGCUGAACCAGCCAAGCCGCGUGAAGGACGAAGGUGCCAAGCAUUGUAAACUUCUUUUGUCAAGGGACAAAAUCAGGCUCGAGAGCCUGACCGAGGGUACUUGAAGAAAAAGCAUCGGCUAACUCCGUGCCAGCAGCCGCGGUAAUACGGAGGAUGCGAGCGUUAUCCGGAUUUAUUGGGUUUAAAGGGGGCGUAGGCGGGCUGUUAAGUCAGCGGUAAAAGACCGGUGCUCAACCCCGGCGAGCCGUUGACACUGG
rnacentral:rRNA from 1 species